rnacentral:rRNA from 1 species
UACGGGGGGGGCAAGCGUUGUUCGGAAUUACUGGGCGUAAAGGGCUCGUAGGUGGCCAACUAAGUCGGACGUGAAAUCCCUCGGCUUAACCGGGGAACUGCGUCCGAUACUGGAUGGCUUGAGUUUGGGAGAGGGAUGCGGAAUUCCAGGUGUAGCGGUGAAAUGCGUAGAGAUCAGCAGGAACACCCGUGGCGAAGGCGGCCACCUGGGCCGUACCUGACGCUGAGGCGCGAAGGCUAGGGGAGCGAACGGG